GAUGAACGCUAGCUACAGGCCUAACACAUGCAAGUCGAGGGGUAACGACUGGGAAAGCUUGCUUUUCCAGGGCGACGACCGGCGCACGGGUGAGUAACGCGUAUCCAACCUGCCUGGAACCAAGGGAUAACCCGUAGAAAUGCGGCCUAAUACCUUAUGUUGUCCGAAGAAGGCAUCUGACUUGGACAAAAGAUCCGUCGGUUCCGGAUGGGGAUGCGUCUGAUUAGGUAGUAGGCGGGGCAACGGCCCACCUAGCCGACGAUCAGUAGGGGUUCUGAGAGGAAGGUCCCCCACAUUGGAACUGAGACACGGUCCAAACUCCUACGGGAGGCAGCAGUGAGGAAUAUUGGUCAAUGGGCGCGAGCCUGAACCAGCCAAGUAGCGUGCGGGAAGAAGGCCCUAUGGGUUGUAAACCGCUUUUACCGGGGGAUAAAGUGAGCGACGUGUCGCUCAUUGCAGGUACCCGGCGAAUAAGGACCGGCUAAUUCCGUG
rnacentral:rRNA from 1 species